AGAGAGGGGAGACGAUCCCUCUUUUCUAGACAGAGGAAGCAUCUCUCCAGAAAUGCAUUUCUUCAUAAAGUCUCAGAAGAAUCUUAUCAUCAUGGAGGAAGCUUCUAAGCCCAUUUGACCUGACUCUGGCACCUGUCCUGCUGGCUUGAUCUUGCCUGGAAAUAGCGACCGUUUUGGAUGGAACAUUGCCUAAGAGCUUCUUGAGAAAAUGCAGAGAGAACUGGACAUCCUGCCAACACAACAAAAGAAAACUGCUCCUAUGUUGCUAAUGUAUAGGGCUGGUCGAGUGAGCACCCUCUUCAAGAGACAGCAGUGAAGUCAUCACGGCUCAGUAUAG